rnacentral:rRNA from 1 species
UACGGAGGGUGCGAGCGUUGUCCGGAAUCACUGGGCGUAAAGGGCGCGUAGGCGGCGCGAGGAGUCGGGGGUGAAAGUCCGGGGCUCAACCCCGGAUCGGCCUUCGAUACUCUCGCGCUGGAGCACAGUAGAGGCGGGUGGAAUUCCGGGUGUAGCGGUGGAAUGCGUAGAGAUCCGGAGGAACACCGGUGGCGAAGGCGGCCACCUGGACAGUAACUGACGCUGAGAUGCGAAAGCGUGGGGAGCAAACAGG